rnacentral:rRNA from 1 species
AUGUCCCGCCGUCUCUCCCUCCUCCUCCUCGCCUUCUCCAUCCUCUUCCCCGCCACGCUCCUCGCCCAGCCCACAACGCCGCCGCAGCAGUGCCCGCUAAACUUCACCGCUCUGCGCCCCUUCCUCGCUCCGCCGCUCCCCUCCGACGACGCCUCCCGCUGCGCCUUCGCGCUCCAGUCCGUCCGGCUCCUCCUCUCCCUCCACCUCGCCGCCACUGGCUCCUUCCUCGUCCCCGCCUCCUCCUCCUGCCUCCCGCCGCUCCGCGACGCGCUCCCCUUUCCGCUCCCUCCGCCCGAUGCCUGCGGCCUCGCGGGCAUCGAUGCGCUCCUCUCCGCUCCUGGAUGCGCCAACAUCUCCACGCGAGCGGAUUUCGACGCCCGAGUGCCUGCCUCCGCCCGCAGGGACAUCAACGCCAGCUGCUACCGCGAGCUCGGCGCCGUUCCGGUCUGCACCACCUGCACGACCUCGCUCAGCAAGACGGCUGCAGCCUACCUCCUACCUGGAUCCCCCGACGGGGGAAACAAUGUCACCGGCUGCGUCCAGUACCCCUUCAUAUACACCGGCGCCGCGGCCAGCCUACGCGGCCCCGACGACCCGGACACAGCCAACUGCCUCUACCUCCUUAAGGCCAACUCUGAACCCUCCAAAGGGUCCGGCGCCCCUGCCUGGCUCUACGGCGUCGUCUUCGGAUGUGUCGCCUUUGUACUGCUAGUUGCCGCCGCGGCUGGUUCGUGCUUCUUUGUGCGGCGACGCCGGAGGCGGGCUGCCGCUGCCGCACUGGCUGCUGACAGUAGGAGCAAGCGCUCGCAUGCCAUGGAGUCCAUCACCGCCAGCACCACCUUGCUCAAGUUCACCUACGACGACAUCAAGAUGGCCACGGGGAGCUUUGCUAGAGACAGCAUCAUCGGCCGCGGCGGGUUCGGAAAUGUGUACAAGGGGGUGCUCCCGGAUGGCGCAGAGGUGGCAGUGAAGCGCUUCAAGAACUGCUCGGCAGCCGGGGAUGCCGCGUUCGCGCAUGAGGUGGAAGUGGUGGCCAGCGUGCGCCAUGUCAACCUGGUCGCGCUCCGUGGCUACUGCAUCGCCGCCACGCAGAGAGAGGGCCACCAGCGGAUGAUUGUGUGCGACCUCAUGCAUAAUGGCAGCCUCCACGACCACCUCUUCGGCGCCGGGGAGUGCCAGAUGGCGUGGCCAGUGAGGCAGAGGAUUGCCAUUGGGAUGGCACGGGGCCUGUCCUACCUGCACCGUGGCACACAGCCAGCCAUCAUUCACAGGGACAUCAAGGCAAGCAACAUCUUGCUUGAUGACGAUUUUGAGGCGAAGGUGGCCGAUUUUGGAUUGGCCAAGUUUGCGCCAGAAGGGAUGACACACGUGAGCACAAGGGUUGCUGGCACAAUGGGAUAUGUCGCUCCAGAGUAUGCCCUCUAUGGCCAGUUAACUGAGAAGAGUGAUGUCUACAGCUUCGGAGUUGUGCUUCUUGAGCUUAUGAGUGGGAAGAGAGCAUUCAUGUCUCUCAGUGAGGGAGAGAGCUUCGUGCUUGCUGAUUGGGCUUGGUCGUUGGUGCGGAGGGGGAAGACGCUGGAUGUGAUCCAGGAAGGAAUGGCUGAACCUGGUCCUACUAAGGUCAUGGAGAAGUAUGUGCUUGUCGCGGCACUCUGCACACAUCCGCAGCUGCAUGCCAGGCCAACAAUGGAGCAAGUGGUGAAGAUACUAGAAGCAGAUUCAGCACCAGGGCCUUUAAUCAUUCCGGACAGGCCUCUCCCUGUUGUUGCAAACCUGGCCGAUAUUGAGAGGUCAGUGAGCAGCAGCACCGGCUCAGGUCAGCUGUUCAGUCCCUCUGGCUUCCGGUCUUUUAUUCAUAGAGACGAGGAUGCUACACCGGAAUCUCCAAAGGAAACAUAA